ACAAAAAAUUAUAACAAAAAUUCAAAAUUAAUUUGCUUGAGAAUUAAAAAAAAAAAAAAUGAAACUAUUGGGUAGUUAUUUAUUGGCUACUUUGUUUGCAAUAAUAUUUAGCAUUACGAUGUUUUUUAAAGCAGUAGAGUCAAUACAAUUUGCCAGAUGUACAAGUGAUUCAGAAUGUUUACCAGAAAAAGAGUACUGUGAUUUUAAUCGUUGUCGUCGUGUUUCCAAACUACAAUUAUAAUUUUAAAUGAAAAAAUAACACAAUUAUCUAUGUGUAAUUUUUAACGUUUACAUAUAUUCAAUGUAAGCUUUUAUUUUUUUUUUCUUUAAUAAUACAUAAAUCAAUAAACAACAUUGUUCAAAAAAAAUUAACA